rnacentral:misc_RNA from 1 species
GUAGUUAAGCGGACUAUUACUGAUGGUGAUGGUGCGCAAUUAACUCUAAUGGACUUGAUAGUUUUCCAGUCAAUUAUGUGAUUAUGACCAUCGGUGGUAACAGAUCCGGAACGGGUAGAUGUUGCCCCUUGAUACCGCCCUAUAUCGAAUGACCUUUGCGAAUUCGUUAAUUGUUUCCGGCUAAAAAUAGUCGCGUUUCCAGUUUAGCGAAGAUCGAUAUUGCGCUCUUUUAAUAGAUCCGACUAGUUAAAGUGGCCGUGCCCAGCAGAGGCCUGUUAUGUUUUCGUCGACGUCGUCGCCGAGAUGAAAAGCUCAAGUUUGACCUCGUCGUUACCAGAUUUAGAACGUGAAGCGCGACGAACGCCGUCGAAAGCCCAUUAGUUCGAAUACGCUCGCCACAGUGCGACGAUUGAUCGUUAGUGCGGUUCCAUCUGGCAACUGGGAAAACAACAUCGAAGUUCUGUGGGCAAAAUGAGCAAAGGACGCGACGUGCCUCCCCCUUAUGGCCCUCCGCCUGCGGCGCCUCCUAGUUAUGCCCAAGCAGUUGGAGGCGUCCCUCCAACAGCCCCCUACAUUCCAACCUACCACUUGCGGAAAGAUCCGGAGAUUCUCACCACCAUCGUACCAGUGGUGGGGCCCAACCCGACCCACAUGGUGUGUCCUCAUUGCAGCGCCGAAAUCGACACCAGCACGAAAUCGAAACCGGGAAUUAAGGCCUACAUUGCCAGCGCAGUCCUCUGCAUCAUAGGAUGUUUUUGUGGCUGCUGCCUGAUUCCCUGCUGCAUGGAACAGUGCAUGGACGUGACGCACAAUUGCCCCAACUGCGACACUUAUUUGGGCACCUACAAGAAGUAAUUUGGUGACCGUUUGAAUUAGUUAGCGCGGAAUAGGAACUCAUUUUGGACCAUUCUUCAUGGCGCGGAUCUUAAGUGCAUUGACUCGAUUGCCACGUACGACUUAGAAUUGCCCGCCACCAGAGCACUGAGGUGCUGCAAUGGAGCGGUGUCAAGAGACAUUUUCUACUAAUUUCGGCCGUUAAUUCCAAAAUAGACCCCACUUAGACCGAAUAAAUUCUGUACUGUAUUCUGAAACAUA